AGAGUUGAUCCUGCUCAGGAUGAACGCUAGCGGCAGGCUUAAUACAUGCAAGUCAAGGGGGUAGCAAUACAACCGGCGCACGGGUGAGUAACGCGUACACAACAUACCAUAUACUGGAGUAUAGCUUUGGGAAACUGAAGGUAAUCCUCCAUAACAUUGCGAGAAGGCAUCUGAUAGCAAUUAAAGUUUCGGCGGUAUAUGAUUGGUGUGCGUUUGAUUAGCUAGUUGGUAGGGUAACGGCCUACCAAGGCGACGAUCAAUAGCUGGCGUGAGAGCGCGACCAGCCACACUGGAACUGAGACACGGUCCAGACUCCUACGGGAGGCAGCAGUAGGGAAUAUUGGACAAUGGGCGCAAGCCUGAUCCAGCCAUGCCGCGUGCAGGAUGACGGUCCUACGGAUUGUAAACUGCUUUUGUACAGGAAGAAACACUGGUUCGUGAACCAGCUUGACGGUACUGUAAGAAUAAGGAUCGGCUAACUCCGUGCCAGCAGCCGCGGUAAUACGGAGGAUCCAAGCGUUAUCCGGAAUCAUUGGGUUUAAAGGGUCCGUAGGCGGUUUGGUAAGUCAGUGGUGAAAGCCCAUCGCUUAACGAUGGAACGGCCAUUGAUACUGCCAGACUUGAAUUACUGGGAAGUAACUAGAAUAUGUAGUGUGGCGGUGAAAUGCUUAGAUAUUACAUGGAAUACCAAUUGCGAAGGCAGGUUACUACUAAUGGAUUGACGCUGAUGGACGAAAGCGUGGGUAGCGAACAGGAUUAGAUACCCUGGUAGUCCACGCCGUAAACGAUGGAUACUAGCUGUUGGGAGCAAUCUCAGUGGCUAAGCGAAAGUGAUAAGUAUCCCACCUGGGGAGUACGUUCGCAAGAAUGAAACUCAAAGGAAUUGACGG
rnacentral:rRNA from 1 species